rnacentral:rRNA from 1 species
GAUGAACGCUAGCUACAGGCUUAACACAUGCAAGUCGAGGGGAAACGAUAUUGGAAGCUUGCUUCCGAUAGGCGUCGACCGGCGCACGGGUGAGUAACGCGUAUCCAACCUGCCCACCACUUGGGGAUAACCUUGCGAAAGUAAGGCUAAUACCCAACGAUAUCCCAAGAAGCCAUCUGAAAGGGAUUAAAGAUUUAUCGGUGAUGGAUGGGGAUGCGUCUGAUUAGCUUGUUGGCGGGGUAACGGCCCACCAAGGCGACGAUCAGUAGGGGUUCUGAGAGGAAGGUCCCCCACAUUGGAACUGAGACACGGUCCAAACUCCUACGGGAGGCAGCAGUGAGGAAUAUUGGUCAAUGGGCGAGAGCCUGAACCAGCCAAGUAGCGUGCAGGAUGACGGCCCUAUGGGUUGUAAACUGCUUUUAUAAGGGAAUAAAGUGAGCCUCGUGAGGCUUUUUGCAUGUACCUUAUGAAUAAGGACCGGCUAAUUCCGUGCCAGCCGCCGCAGUAA